rnacentral:rRNA from 1 species
UACGUAGGGUGCAAGCGUUGUCCGGAAUUAUUGGGCGUAAAGAGCUCGUAGGCGGUUUGUCGCGUCUGCUGUGAAAACCCGAGGCUCAACCUCGGGCCUGCAGUGGGUACGGGCAGACUAGAGUGCGGUAGGGGGAGAUUGGAAUUCCUGGUGUAGCGGUGAAAAUGCGCAGAUAUCAGGAGGAACACCGGUGGCGAAGGCGGGGUCUCUGGGCCGUAACUGACGCUGAGACGCGAAAGCGUGGGGGAGCAAACAGG